GUAGGGUGCAAGCGUUAAUCGGAAUUACUGGGCGUAAAGCGUGCGCAGGCGGUGAUGUAAGACAGAUGUGAAAUCCCCGGGCUCAACCUGGGAACUGCAUUUGUGACUGCAUCGCUGGAGUGCGGCAGAGGGGGAUGGAAUUCCGCGUGUAGCAGUGAAAUGCGUAGAUAUGCGGAGGAACACCGAUGGCGAAGGCAAUCCCCUGGGCCUGCACUGACGCUCAUGCACGAAAGCGUGGGGAGCAAACAGGAUUAGAUACCCUGGUAGUCCACGCCCUAAACGAUGUCAACUGGUUGUUGGGUCUUCACUGACUCAGUAACGAAGCUAACGCGUGAAGUUGACCGCCUGGGGAGUCCGGUCGCAAGGCUG
rnacentral:rRNA from 1 species